CCCUUAGAUGUUCUGGGCCGCACGCGCGCUACACUGAUGCAUUCAACGAGUUUUUCCUGGUCCGAGAGGAAUGGGUAACCUUUUGAAAGUGCAUCGUGAUAGGGAUAGACUAUUGCAAUUAUUGGUCUUCAACGAGGAAUUCCUAGUAGACGUAGUUCAUCAGACUGCAUCGAUUACGUCCCUGCCCUUUGUACACACCGCCCGUCGCUCCUACCGAUCGAAGAGUUAGGUGAAUUGUUUUGAUCGAUAAGAUUUGACUAUGGUCAACUCUCGUUGUGAAAUUCUGUGAAUCUGACUGUUUAGAGGAAGGAAAAGUCGUAACA
rnacentral:rRNA from 1 species